rnacentral:rRNA from 1 species
UACGGAGGAUGCAAGCGUUAUCCGGAAUGAUUGGGCGUAAAGCGUCCGCAGGUGGCUAUGUAAGUCUGCUGUUAAAGAGUGAGGCUCAACCUCAUAAAAGCAGUGGAAACUACAUGGCUAGAGUGCGUUCGGGGCAGAGGGAAUUCCUGGUGUAGCGGUGAAAUGCGUAGAUAUCAGGAAGAACACCGGUGGCGAAAGCGCUCUGCUAGGCCGCAACUGACACUGAGGGACGAAAGCUAGGGGGAGCGAAUGGG